rnacentral:rRNA from 1 species
AUUGAACGCUGGCGGCAGGCCUAACACAUGCAAGUCGAGCGAGCGGCGGACGGGUGAGUAAUGUAUGGGGACUGCCCGAUAGAGGGGGAUAAAUACUGGAAACGGUAGCUAAUACCGCAUAUUAACGGAUAACCCAUAGGGGAUUAGCUAGUAGGAGAGGUCAUGGCUCACCUAGGCGACAAUCCCUAGCUGGUCUGAGAGGAUGAUCAGCCACACUUGGACUGGGACACGGCCCAGACUCCUACGGAGGCAGCAGUGGGGAAUAUUGCACAAUGGGCGCAAGCCUGAUACAGCCAUGCCGCGUGUAUGAAGAAGGCCCUAGGGUUGUAAAGUACUUUCAGUCGGGAGGCGUUACCGACAGAAGAAGCACCGGCUAACUCCGUGCCAGCAGCCGCGGUAAUUC